ACGGAUCACUCCAACCCCUGUGACAUACCUAUACGUUGCCUCGGCGGAUCAGCCCGCGCCCCGUAAAACGGGACGGCCCGCCCGAGGACCCCUAAACUCUGUUUUUAGUGGAACUUCUGAGUAAAACAAACAAAUAAAUCAAAACUUUCAACAACGGAUCUCUUGGUUCUGGCAUCGAUGAAGAACGCAGCAAAAUGCGAUAAGUAAUGUGAAUUGCAGAAUUCAGUGAAUCAUCGAAUCUUUGAACGCACAUUGCGCCCGCCAGUAUUCUGGCGGGCAUGCCUGUUCGAGCGUCAUUUCAACCCUCAAGCUCAGCUUGGUGUUGGGACUCGCGGUAACCCGCGUUCCCCAAAUCGAUUGGCGGUCACGUCGAGCUUCCAUAGCGUAGUAAUCAUACACCUCGUUACUGGUAAUCGUCGCGGCCACGCCGUUAAACCCCAACUUCUGAAUGUUGACCUCGGAUCAGGUAGGAAUACCCGCUGAACUUAAGCAUAUCAAAGCCCGGAGGACACCGUUCGAGUUUAAACUCCCAAACCCCUGUGAAAAUACCUAUACGUUGCCUCGGCGGAUCAGCCCGCGCCCCGUAAAAAGGGACGGCCCGCCGAGGAACCCUAAACUCUGUUUUAAUGGAACUUCGAGUAAACAACAAAUAAUCAAACUUUAACAACGGAACUCUGGGUUCGGCACAUAAAAACAGCAAAGCGAUAAGUAAGUGAAAUGCAAAAUAUGGAAUCACAAUCUUGAAGCAAUUGGGCCCAUAAUCGGGGGGAGGCGUUCAAGCUCUUUCCACGCCGU
rnacentral:rRNA from 1 species